GUCCCUGUAGCGCAAUGGACAGCGCGUUCGACUUCUAAUCCAAAGAUCUAGGGUUCAAAUCCCACCUGGGACG
rnacentral:tRNA from 1 species